rnacentral:lncRNA from 1 species
CAGCGCAGCGGCUGGCCCCGGGCAGUCAUGCUGGGCACAAAGCUGAAACUGCGGCCAGAACUGGAUAUUGAAAAGGGAUCGAACUCAGGACCUUGUGCUUUCAAGGAAGGCGGCAGAACCACUGAGCUAAAUCCCCAGCCCUCAGAAAAGCAUAUCUCAAGGAAACCGGGCCAACCACGAGGAGAGGCAACUGGUGACCUAAGGAACGAACUGUUCUGAGCACAGCUUUGAACCUGUCCUGCGUCCUCCCAGCCACACAGUCUCCUCACUGCAUGCAUUGCCCCAUGGCCUGUGGCACCGUGGCGGCCCGUGUGGUUCCUCUGACACAGCAAGACAGGUUCCCUGGCAGCAUCAACAAGAUGUUCUGCCUGCUGUCUGCAUUUCUGCCUCGAACCUGGAGGGCCCGUUUCUCCUGAGCUCCGCUUCUUCUAGAUGUGGCAUGCGUCUGGAAGCGGCCAGGCCUGAGUCAUAUCCAGACCUUGGCCGUGGACAGUCAGGAGAGAUGUUUUACUUUAAAACAUAACGUGUACCAGAAGUUCACAGAAGCUUUCUCUUCAGGCCUGCGCUUUUUUUGCUUCAUCUUCUUAAUUUUAAUCUGUGUUUCCUUUUUCUCAGUUAAAACGCCUGAUACAUCA